rnacentral:tRNA from 1 species
UCCUCUGUAGUUCAGUCGGUAGAACGGCGGACUGUUAAUCCGUAUGUCACUGGUUCGAGUCCAGUCUAGAGGAUGCCA